UUAGUGGCAAACGGGUGAGUAACGCGUGGGAAUCUGCCCAUCUGUGGGGAACAACUUCGGGAAACUGAAGCUAAUACCGCAUACGUCCUUAGGGAGAAAGACUUCGGUCGCUGAUGGAGGAGCCCGCGUUGGAUUAGGUAGUUGGUAGGGUAAUGGCCUACCAAGCCUACGAUCUAUAGCUGGUCUAAGAGGAUGGUCAGCCACACUGGGACUGAGACACGGCCCAGACUCCUACGGGAGGCAGCAGUGGGGAAUCUUAGACAAUGGGGGAAACCCUGAUCCAGCAUGCCGCGUGAGUGAUGAAGGCCUUAGGGUUGUAAAGCUCUUUCAGCUGGGAAGAUAAUGACGGUACCCAGCAGAAGAAGCCCCGGCUAACUCCGUGCCAGCAGCCGCGGUAAU
rnacentral:rRNA from 1 species